GACGAACGCUGGCGGCGUGCUUAACACAUGCAAGUCGAACGGAAAGGCCCUGCUUUUGUGGGGUGCUCGAGUGGCGAACGGGUGAGUAACACGUGAGUAACCUGCCCUUGACUUUGGGAUAACUUCAGGAAACUGGGGCUAAUACCGGAUAGGAGCUCCUGCUGCAUGGUGGGGGUUGGAAAGUUUCGGCGGUUGGGGAUGGACUCGCGGCUUAUCAGCUUGUUGGUGGGAUAGUGGCUUACCAAGGCUUUGACGGGUAGCCGGCCUGAGAGGGUGACCGGCCACAUUGGGACUGAGAUACGGCCCAGACUCCUACGGGAGGCAGCAGUGGGGAAUAUUGCACAAUGGGCGGAAGCCUGAUGCAGCAACGCCGCGUGCGGGAUGACGGCCUUCGGGUUGUAAACCGCUUUCGCCUGUGACGAAGCGUGAGUGACGGUAAUGGGUAAAGAAGCACCGGCUAACUACGUGCCAGCAGCCGCGGUGAUACGUAGGGUGCGAGCGUUGUCCGGAUUUAUUGGGCGUAAAGGGCUCGUAGGUGGUUGAUCGCGUCGGAAGUGUAAUCUUGGGGCUUAACCCUGAGCGUGCUUUCGAUACGGGUUGACUUGAGGAAGGUAGGGGAGAAUGGAAUUCCUGGUGGAGCGGUGGAAUGCGCAGAUAUCAGGAGGAACACCAGUGGCGAAGGCGGUUCUCUGGGCCUUUCCUGACGCUGAGGAGCGAAAGCGUGGGGAGCGAACAGGCUUAGAUACCCUGGUAGUCCACGCUGUAAACGGUGGGUACUAGGUGUGGGGUCCAUUCCACGGGUUCCGUGCCGUAGCUAACGCUUUAAGUACCCCGCCUGGGGAGUACGGCCGCAAGGCUAAAACUCAAAGGAAUUGACGGGGCCCCGCACAAGCGGCGGAGCAUGCGGAUUAAUUCGAUGCAACGCGUAGAACCUUACCUGGGUUUGACAUGGAUCGGGAGUGCUCAGAGAUGGGUGUGCCUCUUUUGGGGUCGGUUCACAGGUGGUGCAUGCUUGUCGUCAGCUCGUGUCGUGAGAUGUUGGGUUAAGUCCCGCAACGAGCGCAACCCUUGUUCACUGUUGCCAGCACGUUAUGGUGGGGACUCAGUGGAGACCGCCGGGGUCAACUCGGAGGAAGGUGGGGAUGACGUCAAGUCAUCUUGCCCCUUAUGUCCAGGGCUUCACGCAUGCUACAAUGGCUGGUACAGAGAGUGGCGAGCCUGUGAGGGUGAGCGAAUCUCGGAAAGCCGGUCUCAGUUCGGAUUGGGGUCUGCAACUCGACCUCAUGAAGUCGGAGUCGCUAGUAAUCGCAGAUCAGCAACGCUGCGGUGAAUACGUUCCCGGGGCU
rnacentral:rRNA from 1 species